UAGGGAAACUUACGCUAAUACCGCAUACGACCUACGGGUGAAAGCAGGGGAUCUUCGGACCUUGCGCGAUUGAAUGAGCCGAUGUCGGAUUAGCUAGUUGGCGGGGUAAAGGCCCACCAAGGCGACGAUCCGUAGCUGGUCUGAGAGGAUGAUCAGCCACACUGGAACUGAGACACGGUCCAGACUCCUACGGGAGGCAGCAGUGGGGAAUAUUGGACAAUGGGCGCAAGCCUGAUCCAGCCAUACCGCGUGGGUGAAGAAGGCCUUCGGGUUGUAAAGCCCUUUUGUUGGGAAAGAAAUCCAGCUGGCUAAUACCCGGUUGGGAUGACGGUACCCAAAGAAUAAGCACCGGCUAACUUCGUGCCAGCAGCCGCGGUAAUACGAAGGGUGCAAGCGUUACUCGGAAUUACUGGGCGUAAAGCGUGCGUAGGUGGUCGUUUAAGUCCGUUGUGAAAGCCCUGGGCUCAACCUGGGAACUGCAGUGGAUACUGGGCGACUAGAGUGUGGUAGAGGGUAGCGGAAUUCCUGGUGUAGCAGUGAAAUGCGUAGAGAUCAGGAGGAACAUCCAUGGCGAAGGCAGCUACCUGGACCAACACUGACACUGAGGCAC
rnacentral:rRNA from 1 species